AAAAAUAAAAAAAUAAAAAAAAACGUGAGCAACUUGAUCUCCCUCAUUAAUUGAGGUGGCAGAUCAAGUGGACACAAACGUGCGUUCCAUGAUGGAACCUAGUCAGGCGCCACACGCGUGGUAAUCAAAACCAACACCUAAGAUUAAAACAAAUUGAAUGGAUCAUGUGGCUGGGAGACGUGCCAACACACAGCCGGAGCCAGAGCUCUGGUCUUCUGCUCCG
rnacentral:lncRNA from 1 species